rnacentral:lncRNA from 1 species
AAGAGUUUGCACCUAUCUCGCAGUGAAUGGAAUGAGCACUGGCUUUUGUAAGGGCUGGGGAAAUGGAAAACUUCGCUGCCUACAACCCGGGUCCUGAAGCUUUUAAUCGGGUUUGCCUUGAGAAAACUCUUCAAAGAAGUGUGCUGGUAUAAGGAAGACAUUUAACUAGGAUUCCUCCACCCUCUUCCAGGCAAUCAGUUCUCUGCAUGCCUGUCAUUCAGAGUCAAUCAAGUCUUGAGAUAAAAGACACCAGACUCUAGAUGCCUUCGGACACAAACAGGCUUUCUAGUAAAGCUGGGUCCCUGUGUUUCAGCUACUUGCGCAGCAUGUGACACCGUUGCUGCGAAAUUGGAAGCUAUUGUAAUGUACAAGAAACAAAGCAGCAAGAGCUGUUUACACAAUACUCUCCAUUAGAUUUGUAUCGCAUGUUUUCAAAACUGUUCUGGGUGUUCUGCAGCCUCAGCAGUGUGUUGAUUUCUAGGCCGC